rnacentral:lncRNA from 1 species
UUUGAGAUUAUGUAAAUACGUGUUUGUAAAUAAUUAAUUAUGAUUCUAAACUGUGAAGUGAGUCUUAUGUGAUUUUGUUAAAUUUAUAAAAUUUAUAAUUGUUUGAGCUUUGAAUAUAGGUUAAGCGAGGUUACAUUUGAAUGGAAUUUUUAAUUUGUGGAUUAUAUGUCCAUCAAUUGAAUUUUUUAAACAACUAAUUUGAAAACGUGCUUAAAUUGCCAAUAAUUAAUGAUCCAUAAGUGGUGUUUAUCUAUACAUAACAAUAGGGAACGUAAUGAGUCUCCUAUAUAAGGGGGUCGGGGUGUGUUUCUUUACAUAUAUAUAAAUUGUUUCUUGUGAUGAGAUAUCAAAAUGAGAAAAAGUUUAUUUGUGUUCAUGUUGCUCCUUGUCCUUUUUGUUACAGACAUUUUACUUUAUUCCUAAUUCCUAUUUUAUGCUUUUUGCUCGUGUAAUGUUAUUGCUUUUUAUAUUCUUUUUGUUACAUGUUCAUAUAUGAAGAUUUUUCACAUACAUGUUGAUUCUUUAAGUUUUGUUUUUAGUAAUAAUUAUGGAAAGUACAUGAUUAAUGAUGGUUUUGGAUUUUCAAAGUGGAUAUAUAUUAUAGAAACAAUAUUCAUCACCUGUACAUGUAUGUUUUCUGGGUGAGGACACUUUAUUCAUUAUAUACAAUUAUCAUGAAUACAAAGGAUAAGUACAAGUGAUGUUUACAUUAAGAUGAGAAUGAAGAAUUAAUGUGAUUUUGAGAGAAUGAAUAAAUGUAGAUCUGUAUGGUUGACUGGUGAUGGAUUGUUUUGUUGCAGAUGAGACUUUGAUGACUUGGACAGAAGCAGGGAGAGAACCAAGGAAAUGUCAAGAAGUAGACACGAAAUAUCCUUGUCAGGAUGAUUUUACAUGUAAUCAGGACUGCAUAGAUUUACCUGGUGAUAGGAAUGUAACCGGAAAAUGUGAGAUAAGGGAUAAGGUUAAGCGAUGUGUCUGUAACUAUAUUUGUUAAUCUUGAGCAUAUGCUCAGUGAAGUUACUUAUAAUACUAUUCUAUGUACAUGUACACCGGUCACAUGACUUAAUUUCGUGUAUGCCAGCUGUCAUUUCUGAUGGUUUAUUACUUAUUUAAUAUCAAUAAAAUUGUUUGUGGGUUUUAGC